rnacentral:rRNA from 1 species
UACGUAGGGUGCAAGCGUUGUCCGGAAUUAUUGGGCGUAAAGGGCUCGUAGGCGGUUUGUCGCGUCGGGGAGUGAAAACUCAGGGCUUAACCCUGAGCCUGCUUCCGAUACGGGCAGACUAGAGGUAUGCAGGGGAGAACGGAAUUCCUGGUGUAGCGGUGAAAUGCGCAGAUAUCAGGAGGAACACCAGUGGCGAAGGCGGCUACCUGGACCGGUUCUGACGCUGAUGCGCGAAAGCGUGGGUAGCAAACAGG